AUGAACGCUGGCGGCGUGCCUAAUACAUGCAAGUCGAGCGAACAGAUGAGGAGCUUGCUCCUCUGACGUUAGCGGCGGACGGGUGAGUAACACGUGGAUAACCUACCUAUAAGACUGGGAUAACUUCGGGAAACCGGAGCUAAUACCGGAUAAUAUAUUGAACCGCAUGGUUGAAUAGUGAAAGACGGUUUUGCUGUCACUUAUAGAUGGAUCCGCGCCGCAUUAGCUAGUUGGUAAGGUAACGGCUUACCAAGGCAACGAUGCGUAGCCGACCUGAGAGGGUGAUCGGCCACACUGGAACUGAGACACGGUCCAGACUCCUACGGGAGGCAGCAGUAGGGAAUCUUCCGCAAUGGGCGAAAGCCUGACGGAGCAACGCCGCGUGAGUGAUGAAGGUCUUCGGAUCGUAAAACUCUGUUAUUAGGGAAGAACAAAUGUGUAAGUAACUAUGCACGUCUUGACGGUACCUAAUCAGAAAGCCACGGCUAACUACGUG
rnacentral:rRNA from 1 species